rnacentral:rRNA from 1 species
UAGGGAAUCUUCCACAAUGGACGCAAGUCUGAUGGAGCAACGCCGCGUGAGUGAAGAAGGUUUUCGGAUCGUAAAGCUCUGUUGUUGGUGAAGAAGGAUAGAGGCAGUAACUGGUCUUUAUUUGACGGUAAUCAACCAGAAAGUCACGGCUAACUACGUGCCAGCAGCCGCGGUAAUACGUAGGUGGCAAGCGUUGUCCGGAUUUAUUGGGCGUAAAGCGAGCGCAGGCGGAAUGAUAAGUCUGAUGUGAAAGCCCACGGCUCAACCGGGGAAAUGCAUCGGAAACUGUCAUUAUUGAGUGCAGAAGAGGAGAGUGGAAUUCCAUGUGUAGCGGUGGAAUGCGUAGAUAUAUGGAAGAACACCAGUGGCGAAGGCGGCUCUCUGGUCUGCAACUGACGCUGAGGCUCGAAAGCAUGGGUAGAGAACAGG